rnacentral:lncRNA from 1 species
UCAUGUUACUUGUGAUUUAGUAUAUAGAGGAUAUAUAGCCUGAUAGUGAAACAUUUGCACAGAUACAAGGGCUUGAUAGCGAAACAAAGUGCAGUUGCAGUGGCGUGUUUAAUAUUUUUGAAAAUUUCAGUAGACAAUUUAGAAACUCUACACUUGUUGCUAAAAUAAAUCGAUUUAAUUAACAAAACCUUAUAUUCUCUCUAAAACCAAAAAGUAUAUACUCCAUCCGUUUCAUGAAAAUAGAUUUUCUAGCGUUUUCGCACAUAUUUAGAAAAUACAUUAAAUCACUAUAAUAAACGUAUCAUUUUCUGCAAUUUUUAAUUUUUAAUAUAUUUUAACUAAUAGUAAUUUAAUAAAAUCAAUUAAUUUUUUGGAAGUUUAUAAUUUUUUUAUAGAAAACACAAAAUAUCGAUCUUUGUGA